ACCUGGUUGAUCCUGCCAGUAGUCAUAUGCUUGUUUCAAGGAUUAAGCCAAGCAAGCCUAAGAGUAACCUAAUUAUAACAGGAGGUCUGCGAACGGCUCAUUAUAUCAGAGAUGAUUUACCGGGAAUAUAGCAGCGAGUGCUGCCCAAUGGAUAACUUCGCGAAACGCGAAGCUAAUACAUGUACGACACGCGGAUUGCUCCUUCGAAGCGCGCGCGGCUAGACCCGCGUGCGCGGGGCGUCUGUGCGGAUGGUUGGCACUAAGACCAGCGCCGCUCGCGCGGCAGAGUCAUAGAGCGAUGAAUCAAACCAUUCAGCGAAAGCGCGCUUCGGCGCGCGUGUCCCGACAAGUCUCUGCCCUAUCAGCUCUGAUGGUACUGUAUUGGACUACCAUGGCGAUAACGGGUACGGGGAAUUAGGGUUCGAUUCCGGAGAGGGAGCCUGAGAGAUAGCUACCACUUCUACGGAGGGCAGCAGGCGCGUAAAUUGCCCAAUGCCAAAUCGGCGAGGCAGCGAAGAAAAAUAGCGAUCCCGUCUCUUUACAGAGUGCGGGAGUUGCAAUGUGUGGUAUGUAAACCCACCAACGAGUAACGAUUGGAGGACAAGUCUGGUGCCAGCACCCGCGGUAAUUCCAGCUCCAAUAGCGUAUAUUAAUGUUGCUGCUGUUAAAGGGUUCGUAGUUGGACUCGGGGCGUGCGGAUGCGCGCACACACCGUGCGUGCUCUUGCCGCCCCGUCACAGACGGAGCCGUGUUCUGUCGCGCGCCUUCACUGGUGCGUGGCGCCCGCAAGGGACCGAGUGCGACACACUCGCCGAACCGUCCGUCGUUCUCACCGUGAAUAAAACAGCGUGUUCAAGGCAGCCGUUCGGCCGCAUGACAAAGCAUGGAAUGACAGAGCAUCGACCAUCGUGGCGUGCUUUUGUUGGUUUUACUACCUCGUUGGGUAACUCUCUUUCUUGGCUGCCAUCCUCUUUUACGAGGGGGUGCGCACCUUGAAAGAUCGGGAUUAACGGGGGUUGUCGGGGAAAACCGUAUUCGGGCGUGAGAGGUGAAAUUCUUAGACCGCCCGGGGACGAACUCAAGCGAAGGCAGUUUUCAAGUAUACCUUCAUCAAUCAAGAACUAAAGUGUGGAGAUCGAAGAUGAUUAGAUACCAUUGUAGUCCACCACUGCAAACGAUGACGCCCAUGGAUCGGACAGUAUUUUACUCCGAUGGGAUCUUUUCGGCACUGCUCCCCUUCAACGCGAAAGCUGAGGCUAUGGUCUCAUGGGGAAGUACGUUCGCAAGGCUGAAACUUAAAGAAAUUGACGGAAUGGCACCACCAGACGUGGAGUGUGCGGUUUAAUUUGACUCAACACGGGAAACCUUACCAGGACAGGACAACGCAAUGAUUGACAGAUUGAUAGCUCUUUCUUGAUUCGUUUGACGGUGGUGCAUGGCCGCUUUUGGCCGGUGAAGUGAUUUGUUUGGUUGAUUCCUUUAACGGACGAGACCCAAUCCGCUUACUAGCUGCCGCAUUGAUUUUGUGCGUUUCCUCGCGAUUCGCGUAAAAAAUACGGCGCGCUUCUUCGCGGCAUUCCAUGCGCCUUAGCAUGGUGGCAUUUUGGGCAACAGCAGGUCCGUGAUGCUCCUAAAUGUCCUGGGCGACACGCGCACUACAAUGACAAAGUGAAUGAGUGAAACCUUCGGGUCCUGCCGCGAGAGCGGUGGGAAAACUUCGAAAACUAUGUCGUGCUUGGGAUCGAAGCUUGCAAUUAUUCUUCUUGAACGAGGAAUGUCUAGUAGACGUGCUUCAUCAAAGCACAUUGACUACGUCCCUGCCAUUUGUACACACCGCCCGUCGUUGUUACCGAUGUCAGUUUGAUACAGAUCAACGGAGCGCGCCCGUGUACCACCCCGGCGCCGCGCGCGAAGUUGAUCGAUAUUAAACUAGUAGAGGAAGCAAAAGUCGUAACAAGGUAGCCGUAGGUGAACCAGCGGAAG
rnacentral:rRNA from 1 species